GACGAACGCUGGCGGCGUGCUUAACACAUGCAAGUCGAACGGUGAUCUUGGGAGCUUGCUCCUGGGUGAUCAGUGGCGAACGGGUGAGUAACACGUGAGUAACCUGCCCCUGACUCUGGAAUAACUUCGGGAAACCGAAGCUAAUACCGGAUAUGACACAGAGCCGCAUGGUUUCUGUGUGGAAAGUUUUUUCGGUUGGGGAUGGACUCGCGGCCUAUCAGCUUGUUGGUGAGGUAAUGGCUCACCAAGGCGACGACGGGUAGCCGGCCUGGGAGGGCGACCGGCCACACUGGGACUGAGACACGGGCCAGACUCCUACGGGAGGCAGCAGUGGGGAAUAUUGCACAAUGGGCGAAAGCCUGAUGCAGCGACGCCGCGUGAGGGAUGAAGGCCUUCGGGUUGUAAACCUCUUUCAGUAGGGAAGAAGCGCAAGUGACGGUACCUACAGAAGAAGCACCGGCUAACUACGUGCCAGCCGCCGCGGUAAGAC
rnacentral:rRNA from 1 species